UGGACAAUGGGCGAAAGCCUGAUCCAGCAAUGCCGCGUGCAGGAUGAAGGCCUUCGGGUUGUAAACUGCUUUUGUACGGAACGAAAAGCUUCGGGUUAAUACCCUGGAGCCAUGACGGUACCGUAAGAAUAAGCACCGGCUAACUACGUGCCAGCAGCCGCGGUAAUACGUAGGUGGCAAGCGUUGUCCGGAAUUAUUGGGCGUAAAGCGCGCGCAGGUGGUUCCUUAAGUCUGAUGUGAAAGCCCCCGGCUCAACCGGGGAGGGUCAUUGGAAACUGGGGAACUUGAGUGCAGAAGAGGAUAGUGGAAUUCCAAGUGUAGCGGUGAAAUGCGUAGAGAUUUGGAGGAACACCAGUGGCGAAGGCGACUGUCUGGUCUGUAACUGACACUGAGGCGCGAAAGCGUGGGGAGCAAACAGGAUUAGAUACCCUGGUAGUCCACGCCGUAAACGAUGAGUGCUAAGUGUUGGGGGGUUUCCGCCCCUCAGUGCUGCAGCUAACGCAUUAA
rnacentral:rRNA from 1 species